AUGGGCGCAGCUCGCCGGCGACCACGGAGGCUGCUCCAUCGACCAGCACUGUCGGAUGUAAGUGUUGUUGAACGGAACGAAACUCGAACCGUGGCACACACGUAUAAGAGCGCACAAAAGAUGAAGUUGAUGAAGUUAAAUAAGGAAGACAAGCAAAAUGGAAUUUUAUGGAAGGUUGCUCCAGUUUUUAACAUGGUUGCCUGGAAUUACAGGGAAAGAUGCUUUAAUUUUUACAGAAUUGAUAGGGGCUUCUUCCAGUUUUCUUCAGUCUACCAUCUUUAUUUUGUAUCAUUCCCAGACUGA
rnacentral:rRNA from 1 species